AGCUUUGAGCGUGGCAGUAUCAUAGCCAAGGAGGUUUAUCCCCAGAGUGAUUAUUGCUAAUUGAAAACUUUUUUCCAAUACCCUGCCAUGAUAACUUGCAAUAUAGUGAGCAUUGGCAAUUUUUGAAAGUCUUUAUGGAAA